rnacentral:lncRNA from 1 species
CCUCCUAUUUUUAUUUUCCUGGUGUGCCCCCGCUCAUCUUCCUCCUCCUUUCAUCUUCCCCCUGCAGGUUCUCCUCGGUGACGCUCUGCGUCCCCCAGCGCCGCCGCUCCUGUCUGGGCUGAAGGAUGAGGCGCGUUGGGCUGUACAUCAUCUCAGCACGGCUCCCAUAAGAUCAAACUGCUUCAUUCUUCUUAUGGGAACCUUGUUUGGAUGCAAAUGAUGCUUCAGCUGGAAGGAGGCAAGUGGAGGCUGGAGGGAACUCAGAGGAAGGUCAUCUGGAGGACCAGACGGGUCGGCGUGGCCUUUAAACCAAGCCGCACACACAGGCACACAAGCUAACAGAUGGCUAAAUGGAACCCUGAGGCUCCUGCUGAUCCAUCUCCGGAUUAUUCUUAUCAUCCAAAAAAAGCUGUGACUCUGCAGGAACAGAGAGGAGUGAAAGUUUCUGUUGAAUGUUUCUGGGAGUCGACGGGCAGUAAAGCAUGGAGCGGCGUGAUGCAGACGCCGCAUUGAGACAGCAACAGCGUGUUAACCUGUCUUGAUGAACUGCGUGAAAGUCAUUUGUCCGGCGCGGACCGUGCUGCUCUGCCAGAGCUCGGCUCCAAUGGCGGAGGGCGAAAGCUUCCUGCAGAC